GAGUUUGAUCUUGGCUCAGGAUGAACGCUGGCGGCGUGCUUAACACAUGCAAGUCGAGCGGGAAUGCAGAGGCGGAAUUCUUCGGAAGGAAGCCUUUGUGUUUUAGCGGCGGACGGGUGAGUAACGCGUGGAUAACCUGCCCCAUACCGGGGAUAACAGUUAGAAAUGACUGCUAAUACCGCAUAAGCGCACGGAGCCGCAUGGCACGGCGCGGAAAACCCCGGUGGUACAGGAUGGGCCCGCGUCUGAUUAGCUGGUUGGCAGGGUAACGGCCUACCAAGGCGACGAUCAGUAGCCGGCCUGAGAGGGUGGACGGCCACACUGGGACUGAGACACGGCCCAGACUCCUACGGGAGGCAGCAGUGGGGGAGUAUUGCACAAUGGGGGAACCCUGAUGCAGCGACGCCGCGUCGGGUGAAGGAGCGGUUUCGGCG
rnacentral:rRNA from 1 species